rnacentral:rRNA from 1 species
GAUGAACGCUGGCGGCGUGCCUAAUACAUGCAAGUCGAGCGAACAGACGAGGAGUUUGCUCCUCUGACGUUAGCGGCGGACGGGUGAGUAACACGUGGAUAACCUACCUAUAAGACUGGGAUAACUUCGGGAAACCGGAGCUAAUACCGGAUAAGAUAUUGAACCGCAUGGUUCAAUAGUGAAAGACGGUUUUGCUGUUACUUAUAGAUGGAUCCGCGCCGCAUUAGCUAGUUGGUAAGGUAACGGCUUACCAAGGCAACGAUGCGUAGCCGACCUGAGAGGGUGAUCGGCCACACUGGAACUGAGACACGGUCCAGACUCCUACGGGAGGCAGCAGUAGGGAAUCUUCCGCAAUGGGCGAAAGCCUGACGGAGCAACGCCGCGUGAGUGAUGAAGGUCUUCGGAUCGUAAAACUCUGUUAUUAGGGAAGAACGAAUGUGUAAGUAACUAUGCACGUCUUGACGGUACCUAAACAGAAAGCCACGGCUAAAUACGUG